ACACACGCACACAGGGUGUGUGUGUGUCUCUGUCUGCCCUGCUGUCUCCCCUCCCUCCAUUCUUGCUGCCUUGUAGAGCGUGAGGCUACAUUAACCUGUUAACCCUUAAGGGAUCAGCUGAGUGCUAGUUCAUCAUUUAGCAAUAAGGCAUUCCCAGGGAAAUAUCCCAGCCUCUGACUUCACCACCUCAGCUAAGCUUCACAAUCAUUAUAGCUGUA